UUUUGGGUCUUUUUCUUAUAUAGGCUCCUAUUAUCCCUGUUCUGAUUUUUCACAUUUGCUGUCUACUUACCCUACUGUGGAGAAGGGUGCUGUUGUGGUUGUGAAAGGCUGUAGGGAAGUAGGCUGCAUUCAUUUCCUGAGAGGAGAGAGAGACUGGCAAAACCAGAGAGGGGGAAAGUGAGACCUGUAGGAAGAAGCCCAGGGAAACAGCAACAAGAGGCUGUUGUGUCAGACAACAUGCUUGCUGCAUGGAAGUCCCACUGGAAUGAAAGACACACCUGUCUGCAGCAGAGCUGAGCAAAGAACAAGAGAUCAGCAUUCCCAGGCUGCAGAACUGCUCAAUGUCCUAUCCUGAUCCUGUCCCUCUGUACAGCCCAACAGCCCACUGACACCUUGCAGAUGAUUGAGACCACUUGGACGCUGCAGUCCUUGAAACAGAGUAACCAAGUGUGUAGACACAACGUGUCUUCCAGGCUCCCAAGUAUUCUAAUGAAUUAAUGAAGUAUUUUCUGCUUUUAACUUGUAGUGGGUUUUGCUGGAGGAGGAAAAGCUUGAAUUGGUUCAUUUCUCAUACUGCUUCUUGCUUUUUUCUUGGAUUUGUUUUUUGGAUAUUUCAUUGGCGUGGGAGUGGGGGUUUCUUGUUUAUUGUCUGGCAGAUAAUGGCACCAAAACUUGAAAGGUCUGAAUGCUUCAGGGAACUGAACUCAGGUCUGCCAUGUCCUAAGCCAGUGCCUUCCUCUUCAGCUGUAAUUCAUGAUGCUGAUGGAAAGGAGAAUGAUAUGUGCACUUUUUGUGGUUACUUAACAAUGUUGUUCACUUUCCUACCAGCACAAGAAAAAACAUCUCGCAGGUCCGUGAAACGAGCACCCGAAUCAUCUGGCUCUUUUUAAAUGUAUAGAAAAGUUAGCUUUUGGCUUUCACUUUUGGUUCAGGUGGGGGAUAGUUAGCCAAUUCUAGGCCUGCGUCCCUCAGGAAGACAUGAAUCCUGGGGUGUGCUUCACCUGCUCUGAUAAGGUUGGAGAUGUCCUCUAGGGUGCAUUUGGCCCAGACAGUUAAGUUGCCUAUCAGUGAGACAUGGCACUAUGACUGAGGCAAUCAACAGAAUGACAAAACCAAACUCUCCCACCAACAGAAAGACUGGACCUUAUUGAUAAUAUUUCAGUAACAAAGGAAUUUGUCCAAAAAUAUGAUUUAUGGCAUGUUACAUUUGGAAAUAUGUAGCUAGAUUUCAGAGUAUUAACUUGGUACUAAUCACUUGCUGAAUGUUUUUGCAUAGUUUUUGCUUUGUUAAUAUUGUAUCUAUUAAUUAUUGAAAACUACUGAACCUGAUGUAACUUGCGCUUUUUUUUGUAAAUCAACUUUGCGCUGUC